rnacentral:rRNA from 1 species
ACAUGAAGCUGGAAUCGCAGUAAUCGCGGAUCAGAAUGCCGCGGUGAAUACGUUCCCGGGUCUUGUACACACCGCCCGUCACACCAUGGGAGUCGGAAAUGCCCGAAGUCUGUGACCCAACCUACGGGAGGGAGCAGCCGAAGGCAGGUCGGAUGACUGGGGUGAAGUCGUAACAAGGUAAC